rnacentral:rRNA from 1 species
UACGUAGGGCGCAAGCGUUAUCCGGAAUUAUUGGGCGUAAAGAGCUCGUAGGCGGUUUGUCGCGUCUGCUGUGAAAGACCGGGGCUCAACUCCGGUUCUGCAGUGGGUACGGGCAGACUAGAGUGCAGUAGGGGAGACUGGAAUUCCUGGUGUAGCGGUGAAAUGCGCAGAUAUCAGGAGGAACACCGAUGGCGAAGGCAGGGUCUCUGGGCCGAUACUGACGCUGAGGAGCGAAAGCGUGGGGAGCGAACAGG